rnacentral:rRNA from 1 species
GGACUACCAGGGUAUCUAAUCCUGUUUGCUACCCACGCUUUCGCACCUCAGUGUCAGAUACAGUCCAGUAAGCCGCCUUCGCCACUGGUGUUCCUCCUAAUCUCUACGCAUUUCACCGCUACACUAGGAAUUCCACUUACCUCUCCUGCUCUCAAGUUAGCCAGUUUCCAAUGACCUUUUUGGGUUGAGCCCAAAAAUUUCACACCAGACUUAACUAACCACCUGCGUGCCCUUUACGCCCAAUAAUUCCGGAUAACGCUCGGGACCUACGUAUUACCGCGGCGGCUGGCAC